rnacentral:rRNA from 1 species
ACCUGUAGCUGCAUCCGAUACUGCCAGGCUAGAGAAUGGUAGAGGAAAGCGGAACUUCCGGUGUAGCGGUGAAAUGCGUAGAUAUCGGAAGGAACACCAGUGGCGAAGGCGGCUUUCUGGACCAUUUCUGACGCUGAGGCACGAAAGCUAGGGGAGCAAACGGGAUUAGAUACCCCGGUAGUCCUAGCCCUAAACAAUGUUCAUUAGGUGUUAGAGGUAUCGACCCCUCUAGUGCCGAAGCUAACGCGUUAAAUGAACCGCCUGGGGACUACGGUCGCAAGAUUAAAACUCAAAAGAAUUGACGGGGGCCCGCACAAGCGGUGGAGCAUGUGGUUUAAUUCGAUGCUACGCGAACAACCUUACCUGGGCUUGACAUGCUGAUGGUAGUGAACCGAAAGGGGAACGAUCCGUAGCAAUACGGAAGUCAGCACAGGUGCUGCAUGGCUGUCGUCAGUUCGUGUCGUGAGAUGUUGGGUUAAGUCCCACAACGAACGCAACCCCUAUUGCCAGUUGAAAACGUAAAGUCGUUCACUCUGGCGAAACUGCCCCGGAUGACGGGGAGGAAGGUGGGGAUGAGGUCAAGUCAUCAUGGCCUUUAUGCUCAGGGCAACACACGUGCUACAAUGCGGCGUACAAAGGGAUGCAAAUCCGCAAGGAAGAGCAAAUCUCAAAAAGCGUCGCUCAGUUCGGACUGAAGGCUGCAACUCGCCUUCAUGAAGCUGGAAUCGCUAGUAACCGCAGAUCAGCGUGCUGCGGUGAAUACGUUCUCGGGCCUUGUACACACCGCCCGUCACACCAUGGAAGCCAGAAACACUCUAA